UUUCCGGUUGAUCCUGCCAGAGGUCACUGCUAUCGGUGCUCGAUUAAGCCAUGCGAGUCGAGAGGCGUCAUGGCCUCGGCGUACUGCUCAGUAACACGUGGACAACCUGCCCAAAGGUCCGGGAUAACCCCGGGAAACUGGGGAUAAUACCGGAUAGGUCACAAAUACUGGAAUUUGUUUUGUGGUUGAAACUUCCGGGGCCUUUGGAUGGGUCUGCGGCGGAUUAGGUUGUUGCCGGUGUAACGUACCGUCAAGCCUGUAAUCCGUACGGGUUGUGGGAGCAAGAGCCCGGAGAUGGAUUCUGAGACACGAAUCCAGGCCCUACGGGGCGCAGCAGGCGCGAAAACUCUACAAUGCAGGCAACUGCGAUAGGGGAACAUCGAGUGCUCAUCAUUUUGGUGGGCUGUCCCAUCGUCUAAAAAACGGUGGUUAGCAAGGGCCGGGCAAGACCGGUGCCAGCCGCCGCGGUAAUACCGGCGGCUCGAGUGGUGGCCGAUAUUAUUGAGUCUAAAGGGUCCGUAGCCGGCUUUGCAGGUCUUUUGGGAAAUCCAGCGGCUUAACCGUUGGGCGGCCAGGAGAUACUACAUUGCUUGGGACUGGGAGAGGUAAGAGGUACUCAGGGGGUAGGAGUGAAAUCCUGUAAUCCUUUGGGGACCACCGGUGGCGAAGGCGUCUUACCAGAACAGGUCCGACGGUGAGGGACGAAAGCUAGGGGCACGAACCGGAUUAGAUACCCGGGUAGUCCUAGCCGUAAACGAUGCUCGAUAGGUGUCACAACAAUCGUGAAUUGUUGUGGUGCCGUAGGGAAGCCGUGAAGCGAGCCACUUGGGAAGUACGACCGCAAGGUUGAAACUUAAAGGAAUUGGCAGGGGAGCACCACAACGGGUGGAGCCUGCGGUUUAAAUGGGAUUUCAACGCCGGG
rnacentral:rRNA from 1 species